rnacentral:rRNA from 1 species
UACGGGGGAUGCAAGCGUUAUCCGGAAUCAUUGGGCGUAAAGCGCCUGUAGGUUGUUUAUUAAGUCUGUUGUUAAAGACUAGGGCUUAACCCUAGAAAAGCAAUGGAAACUAAUAGACUUGAGUAUGGCAGGGGUAGAGGGAAUUUCUAGUGUAGCGGUGAAAUGCGUAGAUAUUAGAAAGAACACCAGUGGCGAAAGCGCUCUACUGGACCAUUACUGACACUCAGAGGCGAAAGCUAGGGUAGCAAAAGGGAUUAGAUACCCCUGUAGUCCUAGCCGUAAACGAUGGAUACUAGAUGUUGUGCUUAAAGUACAGUAUCCUAGCUAACGCGUUAAGUAUCCCGCCUGGGGAGUACGCUCGCAAGGGUG